GAUGAACGCUGGCGGCGUGCCUAAUACAUGCAAGUCGAGCGAACAGACGAGGAGCUUGCUCCUCUGACGUUAGCGGCGGACGGGUGAGUAACACGUGGAUAACCUACCUAUAAGACUGGGAUAACUUCGGGAAACCGGAGCUAAUACCGGAUAACAUGUUGAACCGCAUGGUUCAACAGUGAAAGACGGUCUUGCUGUCACUUAUAGAUGGAUCCGCGCCGCAUUAGCUAGUUGGUAAGGUAACGGCUUACCAAGGCAACGAUGCGUAGCCGACCUGAGAGGGUGAUCGGCCACACUGGAACUGAGACAUGGUCCAGACUCCUACGGGAGGCAGCAGUAGGGAAUCUUCCGCAAUGGGCGAAAGCCUGACGGAGCAACGCCGCGUGAGUGAAGAAGGCCUUCGGAUCGUAAAACUCUGUUAUUAGGGAAGAACAAAUGUGUAAGUAACUAUGCACGUCUUGACGGUACCUAAUCAGAAAGCCACGGCUAACUACGUG
rnacentral:rRNA from 1 species